AUUGAACGCUGGCGGAAUGCUUUACACAUGCAAGUCGAGCGGCAGCGCGGGGGCAACCCUGGCGGCGAGCGGCGAACGGGUGAGUAACAUAUCGGAACGUACCCAGUCGUGGGGGAUAACUAUCCGAAAGGAUAGCUAAUACCGCAUACGACCUGAGGGUGAAAGCGGGGGACCGUAAGGCCUCGCGCGAUUGGAGCGGCCGAUAUCGGAUUAGCUAGUUGGUGAGGUAAAGGCUCACCAAGGCGACGAUCCGUAGCUGGUCUGAGAGGACGACCAGCCACACUGGAACUGAGACACGGUCCAGACUCCUACGGGAGGCAGCAGUGGGGAAUUUUGGACAAUGGGGGCAACCCUGAUCCAGCCAUUACCGCGUGAGUGAAGAAGGCCUCGGUUGUAAGG
rnacentral:rRNA from 1 species